rnacentral:rRNA from 1 species
UACGUAGGGGGCAAGCGUUGUCCGGAAUCAUUGGGCGUAAAGAGCGCGUAGGCGGUCCGGUAAGUCGGUUGUGAAAACUGGGGGCUCAACCCUCAGAGGCCGACCGAUACUGCCGGGCUAGAGUCCGGAAGAGGCGAGUGGAGUUCCUGGUGUAGCGGUGAAAUGCGCAGAUAUCAGGAGGAACACCAAUGGCGAAGGCAGCUCGCUGGGACGGUACUGACGCUGAGGCGCGAAAGCGUGGGGAGCAAACAGG